rnacentral:rRNA from 1 species
CUGGCUCAGGAUGAACGCUAGCUACAGGCUUAACACAUGCAAGUCGAGGGGCAGCAUUGGAGUAGCAAUACUCAGAUGGCGACCGGCGCACGGGUGAGUAACACGUAUCCAACCUGCCGCUUACUCGGGGAUAGCCUUUCGAAAGAAAGAUUAAUACCCGAUGGUAUAAAGAGUUCGCAUGUUCUCUUUAUUAAAGAAUUUCGGUAAGCGAUGGGGAUGCGUUCCAUUAGAUAGUUGGCGGGGUAACGGCCCACCAAGUCUACGAUGGAUAGGGGUUCUGAGAGGAAGGUCCCCCACAUUGGAACUGAGACACGGUCCAAACUCCUACGGGAGGCAGCAGUGAGGAAUAUUGGUCAAUGGACGAGAGUCUGAACCAGCCAAGUAGCGUGAAGGAUGACUGCCCUAUGGGUUGUAAACUUCUUUUAUAAGGGAAUAAAGUGAGGGACGUGUCCCUUUUUGUAUGUACCUUAUGAAUAAGGAUCGGCUAACUCCGUGCCAGCAGCAGC